GUGCCAGCAGCCGCGGUAAUACGUAGGGGACGAGCGUUGUCCGGAAUUAUUGGGCGUAAAGAGCGUGUAGGCGGCUUAUCAAGUCCUGCGUGAAAUCUCGGGGCUCAACCCCGAGCGGUCGUGGGAAACUGGUUGGCUAGAGUGCGGGAGAGGAGAGUGGAAUUCCCAGUGUAGCGGUGAAAUGCGCAGAUAUUGGGAAGAACACCCGUGGCGAAGGCGGCUCUCUGGAACGCAACUGACGCUGAGACGCGAAAGCGUGGGGAGCAAACAGGAUUAGAUACCCUGGUAGUCC
rnacentral:rRNA from 1 species